rnacentral:tRNA from 1 species
ACUAUUUUGACAGAAAAAAUGUGUUGAUUUUAGAAAUCAUUUAUAUAUAAAUAAAUUAUAUACAUAGUA